AAAGAAACUAACAAGGAUUCCCUUAGUAACUGCGAGUGAAGAGGGAAGAGCUCAAAUUUAAAAUCUGGCAGUGUUUUGCUGUCCGAGUUGUAAUCUAGAGAAGUGCUGCCCGUGCUGGACCAUGUACAAGUCUCCUGGAAUGGAGCGUCACAGAGGGUGAGAAUCCCGUCUUUGACAUGGACUACCAGUGCAUUUGUGGUGUGCUCUCAAAGAGUCGAGUUGUUUGGGAAUGCAGCUCUAAAUGGGUGGUAAACUCCAUCUAAAGCUAAAUAUUGGCGAGAGACCGAUAGCGAACAAGUACCGUGAGGGAAAGAUGAAAAGAACUUUGGAAAGAGAGUUAAACAGUAUGUGAAAUUGUUGAAAGGGAAACGCUUAAAGUCAGUCGUGUCGGCCAGGGAUCAACUCAGCUUUCUCUGCUGGGUGUACUUCCUGAUCUGAUGGGCCAACAUCAGUUUUGACUGCUGGAGAAGGGCAGAGGGAAUGUGGCACCUUCGGGUGUGUUAUAGCUCUCUGUCAGAUGCAGUGGUUGGGACUGAGGAAAGCAGCAUGCCGCAAGGCCGGGUCGUUUCGACCACGUUCAUGCUGAGGAUGUUGGCAUAAUGGCUUUAAUCGACCCGUCUUGA
rnacentral:rRNA from 1 species